rnacentral:lncRNA from 1 species
GGAGAGGGAGCUGCGGUGAGGAGCCGGGAGCGCUAGGGAAGGGGUUUGGCGAAGGGCCCCAAAGACACUCAGACCUUGACGGCGCUGGCGGUGCCCCUUAACGCGCCCGGAUUUUCCCAAAUGACCCAGAAUCGCCGCAACCUCCAGAAAUGCUGGCGGGGUGCACUGCCCAGGAGGUACAACUUUGGAAAUGAUGACGAGUGAGGUGAAGUAAACUCGAGACCCAAGGAGGAUGUACCACAAGCUAGGGCAAAGGAGAGGAAAAGCACACAUGAGGAAGAUGCUAACCCUACAGAUGACUGCUCAGAAAUGACCAUCUUCUCUGAAGAACAGCUUAUCUGCAACAACAUUGUAAAUCAACUAUACUUUAAUAAAAAAAAAAGAUUUUUUUAAAGAAUAGCAUAUCUGAUCUCCAAAUAUUAGAACAUAUCACCAUCAUUCUCAUUCAGAAUAUUCCUCCCUUUCUUUCCCUGAUCCAAAGCAGUUCUUGGCCUCUCUGAGAUCCUGACUGGAUACAGGAAGUGAUCACUGCACACACAUACCACCACCCCACCCCACCCUGCCGCCUGCCAGGUAUCACUCCUUUAAUACAAAUGCCACAUGCCCGUACUCUGGCAGCAUAGAUACAUGUAAUCCGUAUACAACACACCAGAAGUCACCAUUAUAUCCAUACACUUUCCACUAGCUGAAAUGCAACCCAUGUUCAGAUGAUGCAAGGACAUUCCAACCACAGUGGCCUCCUUUAUUAUCUGUCUCCCCCACUAGAGUCUAUGUUCCAUGAAAGCAGAGACAAGUUUUUAUUCGCUGCUGGGUACCCAGCACCAAGCAAGGUGACUGACACAUAAUAGCAGAGUAGGUGCUCACCUAACAUUUAGUGAACGAGUAACAGAUUGAAAGAAGCAAAACAUGAAUUGUUUUUCUAGAAAUUAGUCUCCUAUACCUGGAUGCAAUGGGAGAAAGCAAAUUGAAAGAAGAUGCUAAGUAAUUUGGUUUGUUUUCCCCCUUCAGGCAGAUCGUUUCUGUAUAUAUAACCUGGAUUCUCCUGACUGACCAGCCAGUCUAAAGGUCCAUGUGACCUUUAAGGACCAGGCCUGUUUUUGCCACAGGCAGGAGGGUUCUAUGCUUUAAUUGCCUGGAGGUUCCAUCCAAACUCAGAUCAGCCAACAGUGCAGUCUGUGAGUGGGGCGGUUACAUCUGUGGCAUUUGGAGAAGUGCCUAGCCCUCCACCAAGCAGACCUCCCGGUACGACACGGUUGGAAACAAGGUAGCACGGGAGACUUAUAUUGCUGCCUAGAAAGGUAGAGCUACUCAUGAAAUGACCUAAAAUAAGAGCCUCUCAACAGACGUACAGAUUAGCAGGAUGGCAGGUACUCGGGAGCACAAGGAUAAAACAAUCAAUUGAUAUCGAAGCAUUUCAGUGUUUCCAAAACCAAUGCAUGUCAGCUGAUUCUUGGUCCUAAGUAUCUGUUGAACUAUAUCGGCCACAGGAUGCCCAAGGAGCCUUCCCUGGAAGCUGUCAUUCCCUGGAAGCUGCCAUUUCCUGGCUUUUAGAUUAGAUACAUAGGCAAGAUCUUUGCCUGGACAUCUAAACACUAUGGUUCUGGCUGAGAGGGCCUUGCUAGGAGGCUCCUCAACUUACAGAGGGUGGAGAAUUUCCCUUAAGUGAGGAUGACAUCAUUGACCUGAAGGUGGAUUCCAGGCAACUGCCCUAUCUAAGGAACAAUCAUUCCUGCAGGUAUGUGACUCACAGCAAGGGAGAAAUUCAGAGACCUCAUCAAGCAGAUCUCUGCUCUCCCGGCCCUGACACAGCCAGCCCCAUCCCUGGGCUAUGUGUAACCCAGCAACAAGGAUGGACACAGGCACCAGGCUGGAUGAGGAAGGUCUGGAGAGAAAAUCUGCAAAGAUGCUGAGCUGCUAAGGGAAGAGGGCUUUUAGAAGAGAUCUAGCAAAUUCUCUGCCCUUUCGACUUCACUUUCUGUUCUCUUUUUCUCUGCUUUCAGUAUUUCCAAUUAAUCUUGGAAUGAGAGCCCAAGGCAACAAGCCAGUGGUGCCUGAGGAAUGCUAGAGAGCAGACUGAGCCAGGGAAGCAAAUGCCAGCGAGGGACCCCACAGCAAAGAGGCAGACACCGUGAGCAUCUCUCCUGAGACCACGAGGCUCGCGAGGCGUGUGUGCGGGUCUCUGUGUUGGCACCAUCUGCCAAUUCCUCGGGAGGACAGAACAACCCAGCGAGGCAUGAAGAUUAGAUUAUGUAAUGCUCGAGGAUUGCUGUUUUCGCAGAGGAAACAAAUGGAACGAAUUGAUUUGCUUGUCAGAGUCAUGUCACUAAAGGAGACCCGUUUCCUCCUCUUCCAAGAGGACCUCAUUAAAGAGGAGGAUGAUUUCACACAGGGAAUGCGAGACCACAAUCAACUCCAUUCACAAGAGCAAGUCCAGUUUCCAGAGUGGCACUGAUAAAUUCUCUUCUGGUCCCCUGGCCUGAAAAGUGACUAUUCAGCCACUAUCUAAAAGGUACCAAUAUAGCGAGGAACAUAACUGCCAGUUGCCAGCCGUGAGAUUCAGAACCCAGGUGCUUUGCCUGAACUGAACUCUCUUGCUUCUGGGGAGUCAGCAUCUAAUUUCAAGACCAGUGGGGUCAUAGGUACUAUUCAGAGCUCUAAAUAAGGGCUUCUUUGAUACAGUGAGAAUGUGUUCUUAAAAAUACAUGCCUCAGGAAGGAGAAUUCAUUGCACUUCUGGGAUUCUUUUGCCAUUGCUGGGCUUCACUCAAAAUACCCAGCACAAUACUUUUUAUAGUAUAUUCAGUAGAUCUGAAGAGUGAACAAAAGAUAACCUUGAACCUACUGCCCAUAGGGCCAUUCCUAAACGUUUCAUUGUUUGGCAUUCCUGUUGUGGUGCAGCAUAAAUGAAUCCAACUAGGAACCAUGAGGUUGCAGGUUUGAUCCCUGGCCUUGCUCAGUGGGUUUAGGAUCCAGCAUUGCUGUGAGCUGUGGUGUAGGUCACAGACACAGCUUGGAUCCUGCAUUGCUGUGGCUGUGGCUGUGGCUGGCAGCUGUAGCUCCAGUUGGACCCCUAGCCUGGGAACUUCCAUAUGCCCUGGGUACAGCCCUAAAAAGCAAAAAAAAAAAAAAAAAAAAAAAAAA